AGAGAUUACGUCAUAAGGAAAGACAUCUGGUUUCGACUCAGAAGAAUGGGGCUCAAUUCCUCAAAUCUCUUAAU
rnacentral:tRNA from 1 species